CGCCCGUCACACCAUGGGAGCUGGUAAUGCCCGAAGUCGGUUUUGUCAACUACGGAGACAACUGCCUAAGGCAGGACUGGUGACUGGGGUGAAGUCGUAACAAGGUAUCCCUACGAGAACGUGGGGAUGGAUUACCUCCUUUCUACGGAGUACAGUUGUUACAAAAUGUCACAACACUUACAAUAAAGACUAAUUAAUAUAAUAAAUAAACAAGGCGUCAUGUUCUAAUGAUUUUAGUCCAUUAGGUAUAUCUAGUUUUGAGAGAACUCUCUCAUUUGUUCUUUGAAAACUGAAUAGUAAAGAAUAUUGAUAUGAACAACGACAUCAAUAAAUAAAAUUAACAAGAACAAUUUUGUCAAUUUGUUUUGAUCAUCGAGAAAUUUAUUACAUCAAGUAAUAAUUCAUUGAAAUGUCUUAAAAUACAUCAACAAUAGGAAAAUACAUAACAAUAAAUAUUUUGAAAGUUGUACUUUUAAAUAAGUAAGAGUUUGUGGUGGAUGCCUUGGGUCUGGAAGUCGAAGAAGGACGUGAUUACCUGCGAUAAGCCUCGUGGAGCUGGAUAUACGCUUCGAAACGGGGAUUUCCGAAUGGGGAAACCUAAUUAGAGUAAUGUCUAAUUGCUUUGCAAUGAAUAAAAUAGUUGCAUAGACGAGAUACGUUGUGAACUGAAACAUCUUAGUAGCAACAGGAAGAGAAAAUAAAUAAUGAUUCCAUUAGUAGCGGCGAGCGAACAUGGAAGAGCCCAAACCAACACAUGUUGGGGUUGUAGGACAGUCUACAUAAAGUUACAAAACUUUAUCAUAGCAGAAGAAGCUGGGAAGCUUCGGCAUAGAGGGUGAUACCCCCGUAUGCGAGAUGGUAAAGACUUUUGACUGUAUCCUGAGUAGGGCGGGGCACGUGAAACCCUGUCUGAAUCUGCCGGGACCAUCCGGCAAGGCUAAAUACUAACCAGACACCGAUAGUGAACUA
rnacentral:sRNA from 1 species